rnacentral:rRNA from 1 species
AUUGAACGCUGGCGGAAUGCUUUACACAUGCAAGUCGAACGGCAGCACGGACUUCGGUCUGGUGGCGAGUGGCGAACGGGUGAGUAAUGUAUCGGAACGUGCCCAGUCGUGGGGGAUAACGUAGUGAAAAUUACGCUAAUACCGCAAACGAUCUAUGGAUGAGAGCGGGGGAUCGCAAAACCUCGCGCGAUUGGGGCAGCCGAUAUCAGAUUAGGUAGUUGGUGGGGUAAAGGCCCACCAAGCCAACGAACUGUAGCUGGUCUGAGAGGACGACCAGCCACACUGGAACUGAGACACGGUCCAGACUCCUACGGGAGGCAGCAGUGGGGAAUUUUGGACAAUGGGCGAAAGCCUGAUCCAGCCAUUCCGCGUGCAGGAUGAAGGCCCUCGGGUUGUAAACUGCUUUUGUACAGAACGAAAAGGUUUCUACUAAUACUAGGAGCUCAUGACGGUACUGUGAGAAUAAGCACCGGCUAACUACGUGCCAGCCGCCGCAGUAA